GUUACUAGCAUCAUUGGUAAGAUAUUUCUUCCUUUAUUUAAAUAGUGUGAAUAAUAUUUUGUUAUUAUUUUUGGCAUGUCUGCCACAGAUGUAUUUUGGUUAAUGUAACGAGUGUUUUGUGCCCUACAAAAUGCUCUCUUGCUUGUGAGGGUGAUCUAUUCAACCCUUCUAUAUAAAUACACUUGCAAGUGCCUAACAUUAUCUUUAUAAUCAUCAAUAAUGUAGAUGAACGGAAUCCACAAAAAGGUGUCAUUGUUAAGAUGUCAAAUACUGUUAAGACAUCCACUGGCUCCAAGAAUUGUUCGCUCAAUGUCUCUGUCAUUUGCGAUUCAAAUGGUGUUCAAGUGAGAGAAGUUCUUUUUUCCCUUCCUCCUACUUGUUCUAAUACAUUAAUUCUCUCUAUAUCUGGUAGUACUUUGUUUAUUCCUUGAUUUUGUCAUCACUAUGUUUCACAGGGGCCACAUUCACUGGAGAAAUUAGGGACCUGUGAUUUGUGAGCGUCUGCAAUUCAUCUAGAACUUAAAAUGUUUAAUGUUCUGUAAAUUAUUUUAUUAGCUCUAUGUCGCCAAAUGUUUGUCUGCAGCAAGCAAUAUGUGCUGCACAGUUUGAGUUCACAUGUUUAAGUAUACAACUAAAUGCCUAAGUCUUAACCCCUUCAACUUCAGGAUAUAUUUGAGCAACGCAUAUCAUCUCUUAUGAAUGGUGUUAUCAUGCUUUGUUGACGAUCAACUUCCUGGCAUUUCCUAUGUAUUUGAAAAUUUGUGUUUUUGCAUGCCUAUUGGACAUCAGGUGUUGGCUAUGGCAUAGUAUGGAAUCUGCUAAUCCUGCUGUUAUAGACUGAUAGCCUUUUUGUUUCUCAUCUUGAACUCUCUUUUAGUAAACCAGAGGACAUGGGAUUAAUUGUCUGCAUGAUUCUACAUUUUCUUGAGAUGGAUUUGAUUGGACGUUUCCAUUUCUUCCCACUGUUAUCACUUAACAUUAAAGUCUUUUCUUGCCAGUGUUGGUAUUCCAGACAUUUAUUAAGGUAGUUUUUAGUUAGAACUUAGAAGUUAGAUAAGUGGCUGAUUAAUACCUUUUAAAUUCCUUUGGAAAAAGGUGUUAUCAAUCCAUUCCAUGCUAUUUCGUGUUAUACUCGUGUUGUGUCCUUCUUUAAGGGCAUCGCUUCUGCUAGCAAGUUAUGGUGUAUAAUGGAAAAUAUGCUGUAACUGGUGAUCCUGUAACAUUUGCAGUGGGCCAAAAGAUUUCAACAUGUGAAGACCAGAGAAUAAAUAGUAAAAAUAGUGAAUAUUGUAGAUUUUGUAGUUUUAUCAUGGAUAGGUUUUAUAUUUGUAAUUCUAUUUUGUCCCUGUCAACUGCUCUUUUGAUACAUUUAUAGGAUUUGACUUGCAUAUGAACGUUUCAAGUCUGUCAUUUUUUAUUGUAACAG
rnacentral:lncRNA from 1 species